rnacentral:rRNA from 1 species
UAAACUAGGAUUAGAUACCCUAUUAUUUUAGAUGUUAAAUUUCCUAGGUAGUAAUAGUUAUGUUCUUUAAAUCUAAAGAAUUUGGCGGUGUUUUAUUCUACUCAGAGGAAUCUGUCCCUUAAUCGAUAGUCCACGUUUUAUCUUACUUUAAAAUGUUAAUUCAGUAUGUAUAUCGCCGUUAUAAGUUUAUUUUUUUAGAAUUAUUAAUUUACUUUUAUUAUUAUUUUGAUUUAUUUCAGGUCAAGGUGCAGUUUAUAUUAAAGUGGAGAUGGAUUACAAUAUUAUUUUGAAUAAAUGAAUUUAUUUUUUAAAAUUUUUAAUGAAGGUGGAUUUGUUAGUAAUUUUAAUUAUAUUAUUAUUUUGAUUUUAGAUCUAAAAUAAGCACACAUCG